rnacentral:rRNA from 1 species
ACCAAUUCUAGCCCUAGUACAAACCCCAUUUAACUAUUUCUAGCAAUAAAACAAAACAUUUGACCACAGAAAGUAUCGGAGAGAGAAAUCUAACUAGGAGCCAUAGAGACAGUACCGCAAGGGAAAGAUGAAAGAUAAAUUAAAAGUGAAAAAAAGCAAAGAUUAAACCUUGUACCUUUUGCAUAAUGAGUUAACUAGAUAAACCUGCCUAAGAGAACUUAAGCCAGGCACCCCGAAACCAAACGAGCUACCUAAGAGCAGUCCAAAGAACCAACCCGUCUAUGUAGCAAAAUAGUGGGAUGACUCCUAGGUAGAGGUGAAAAGCCUACCGAGCUUGGUGAUAGCUGGUUACCCAAUAAAGAAUCUCAGUUCAACUUUAAGAUUACCAUAAGAAAUAAAAAUCAAAAUGUAAUCUUAAAAGAUAGUCUAAAGAGGGACAGCUCUUUAGAAAAGGGAAGAACCCUUCAUAGUGAAUAAAUCCAUAAAACACACAAACCAUUGUUGGCCUAAAAGCAGCCAUCAACAAAGAAAGCGUUAAAGCUCAACAUAAUAACAUCUUAAUUCCACUAAUUACAAUAAUUUCCUAUGAAACUCAAUUGGGUCAAUCUAUGAUCACAUAGAUGAGAUACUGUUAACAUGAGUAACAAGAACACUGUUCUCCAGGCACAAGCCUAUAACAAACCGGAUAACCACUGUUAGUUAACAACCAAGGUGAUUAUUCUCAAAUAGACAUCACCUACAUUCUAAAUGUUAGCCCGACACAGGAGUGCCCUAAGGAAAGAUUAAAAGAAGUAAAAGGAACUCGGCAAACAAGAAUCCCGCCUGUUUACCAAAAACAUCACCUCUAGCAUAAAAAGUAUUAGAGGCACCGCCUGCCCAGUGACAAAGUUAAACGGCCGCGGUAUCCUGACCGUGCAAAGGUAGCAUAAUCACUUGUUCCUUAAUUGGGGACUGGAAUGAAUGGCUUAACGAGGAUUCAACUGUCUCUUACUUCCAAUCAGUGAAAUUGACCUUCCCGUGAAGAGGCGGGAAUUCCACAAUAAGACGAGAAGACCCUAUGGAGCUUUAAUUUACUAGCUUAACUUAUCAACUAACCCCCUACUGGAGCAGACAACAAGAUAUAAGCUAGCAAUUUCGGUUGGGGUGACCUCGGAGUAUAAACUAACCUCCGAAAGAUUUUAACCAAGACCUACAAGUCAAAGUAACUAAAAUCCAAUUGACCCAAUUCUUUGAUCAACGGACCAAGUUACCCUAGGGAUAACAGCGCAAUCCUAUUCAAGAGUUCAUAUCGACAAUUAGGGUUUACGACCUCGAUGUUGGAUCAGGACAUCCCAAUGGUGCAGCAGCUAUUAAUGGUUCGUUUGUUCAACGAUUAAAGUCCUACGUGAUCUGAGUUCAGACCGGAGUAAUCCAGGUCGGUUUCUAUCUAUUAACUAUUUCUCCUAGUACGAAAGGACAAGAGAAAUGGGGCCUCCUUAAAUAAAGUGCCCUUAAACUAAUAUAUGAACUUAUCUUAAUUUAGUAAGUUAGUACCAACACACCCUAGACAAGGGGUUU